GCCCUCGGCCUUUCCAGUAUGGCGGCGCCCAGCAGCACGGUGAACUGCGAGGACUUCGCUGAGUUCCAGGAGUUGCUCAGGGUGAUGAGGACGAUCGAUGACAGAAUCGUCCAUGAAUUAAACACUACAAUUCCUACAGCCUCCUUUGUAGGGAAAGUUGACGCCAGCCAAACAUGUAAAGAGCUCUACCAGUCUCUGAUGGAAGCUCACACCAGCCGAGAGAGAAUCAUCAAAAACUGCAUUGCUCAGACUUCCAGUGUAGUGAAAACUCUCAGAGAAGAGAGGGAAAAGGCACAGGAUGAUGUAGCAUUAUUAAAGCAACUCAGGAAAGAGCAGACAAAGGCAUUGAAUGAACAUUUGGACAUAUGCUUUUGGAGAAGUGCUCUGAUGUGAACUCAUAUUUGAAGAACCAAGUGUCAGUUGAAAUUGAUGCAGUCGGAGCUGAAUGUUGAAGAAGUGGUAAAUGACAGAAGCUGGAAGGUAUUUAAUGAGCGUUGCCGAAUUCAUUACAAGCCUCCGAAGAGUCAAUGAUGUGAAGUACUUUCCAUCAAGGUGGUCCACAAUCAUGAGAGCCAAACUGGAAAGAGACCUUGGGCGAGCCAUUCUUGGGCCUUGCAGAACCAGGAUAACCCAGUCUUGCUUUAUUUUGGACCUACUUAGCUGGAAUCUCAAGGUUUAAAUAAUUCUCCUGUAAUUAAGAGAAAACAACUCCUCUUUUGUACAAAAUAUGUGAACAAAUGAGUUUUAUAGUAUUAAAAUAAUUUUCAAAUGGAA